rnacentral:rRNA from 1 species
UACGAGAGGCCCAAACGUUAUUCGGAAUUACUGGGCUUAAAGAGUUCGUAGGCGGCGCAGAAAGUAGGGUGUGAAAUCCCUCGGCUCAACCGAGGAACGUCGAUCGAUACUGCUGUUCUUGAGGAUUGCAGAGGAGACUGGAAUUCCUGGUGUAGCGGUGAAAUGCGCAGAUAUCAGGAGGAACACCGGUGGCGAAGGCGGUUCUCUGGGCAUUCCCUGACGCUGAGGAGCGAAAGUGUGGGGAGCGAACAGG